AAAAGGAGAAGAGGGUCUUGUAAACUUUUGAAUUACCCUUAAAAAUGUAAAUCAUCCUAGGGCCUGUUUGGGUGUACUGUGUCCAAGUACUCGUGGGACGGCUAGUGACGAUCACUACGCGGGCUCAUAAGCAAACAACGUGGUGCUUGUGUGCGAGUGAGAGAGAGAUUGAAAAACUAACAUAUGAAACUUUUGUAUCGUAUUUUUUUUUCCAUCCGUGAGAAGAUAUUUACAAUGAUCGGGCGAAUCAAUGGUGGAAAAAUCUUCCAACAAUUUAUCCAUCAUUAUGAAAGCAUUGUUUAUUUAAAAGCGGUUGUUCAGAUAUUUUUAAAUUAGUUAAUAAGUUUAUAGCGAGUGAGAGAGAGAUUGAAAAACUAACAUACGAAACUUUUGUAUCGUAUUUUUUUUUCCAUCCGUGAGAAGAUAUUUUCAAUGAUCGGGCGAAUCAAUGGUGGAAAAAUCUUCCAACAAUUUAUCCAUCAUUAUGAAAACAUUGUUUAUUUAAAAGCGGUUGUUCAGAUAUUUUUAAAUUAGU
rnacentral:lncRNA from 1 species